GACGAACGCUGGCGGCGUGCCUAAUACAUGCAAGUAGAACGCACAGUUUAUACCGUAGCUUGCUACACCAUAAACUGUGAGUUGCGAACGGGUGAGUAACGCGUAGGUAACCUGCCUGGUAGCGGGGGAUAACUAUUGGAAACGAUAGCUAAUACCGCAUAAUAUUGAUUAUUGCAUGAUAAUUGAUUGAAAGAUGCUAUUGCAUCACUACCAGAUGGAUCUGCGUUGUAUUAGCUAGUAGGUGAGGUAACGGCUCACCUAGGCGACGAUACAUAGCCGACCUGAGAGGGUGAUCCGCCAACCUGGGACUGGGAAACGGCCCAGGAUCCCACGGGAGGGAGCAGGAGGGAAUCUUCGGCAAUGGACGAAAGGCUGACCGAGCAACGCCGCGGGGGUGAAGAAGGGUUUCGGAUCGUAAAGCUCUGUUGUAAGAGAAGAACGGGUGUGAGAGUGGAAAGUUCACACUGUGACGGUACCUUACCAGAAAGGGACGGCUAACUACGUG
rnacentral:rRNA from 1 species